UCUGGGCACAUAUAAAUGAUGUGCUUGGGAUUGGCAAACAAGCACUGGUGAUAAAUGGACAGUGAGCAAACCGUCUGAAAACAUUAGUCAAAAGGAUUCUUCCCUUCCAGAAAUGCUUGGUUAAGCAGGAUCCAGGCUGAACAGCGGGCCCGCCAUCCCGGAGCUAUACCUCCAAGAACACGUGACCUCCUCGGGUGACGGGACAGAGGAAGAAGGUCUCACGCUGAUAAUUAAAGGUUUUGGCCUGGAAGUGACGCGCUUCACUUCUGCUCCAGAACAUAGUUCUGCCUGACUGGAAAGGGAGCAGAGAGAUGUGCUCUCCUCACAUGCCCCGAAGGAGAGGCAGAGAAGAAAUGGGUUAUCAUAAAAUCAUAAUGUUGGAGUCAUGUUAGUUUUCCAUGGAAAAUUCUCAAGAUUUUGCCGCUAUUGACAGUUCCCCUCAAAUGAAAGCACACAGGUCACAUGUUCUAAUUCCAUUAUUCA